GAUGAACGCUGGCGGCGUGCCUAAUACAUGCAAGUCGAGCGAACAGAUGAGGAGCUUGUUCCUCUGACGUUAGCGGCGGACGGGUGAGUAACACGUGGAUAACCUACCUAUAAGACUGGGAUAACUUCGGGAAACCGGAGCUAAUACCGGAUAAUAUAUUGAACCGCAUGGUUCAAUAGUGAAAGACGGUUUUGCUGUCACUUGUAGAUGGAUCCGCGCCGCAUUAGCUAGUUGGUAAGGUAACGGCUUACCAAGGCAACGAUGCGUAGCCGACCUGAGAGGGUGAUCGGCCACACUGGAACUGAGACACGGUCCAGACUCCUACGGGAGGCAGCAGUAGGGAAUCUUCCGCAAUGGGCGAAAGCCUGACGGAGCAACGCCGCGUGAGUGAUGAAGGUCUUCGGAUCGUAAAACUCUGUUAUUAGGGAAGAACAAAUGUGUAAGUAACUAUGCACGUCUUGACGGUACCUAAUCAGAAAGCCACGGCUAACUACGUG
rnacentral:rRNA from 1 species